GUGAUGGAAUAGUGUGAUUUCUUUAUACUUGGCUGGAAACCCACAAGUAGCUAUCGUUCGAGCAUUCCAGCAUUUAAAUGUGAAUAAAUCUUUUGUGGCUCCGUAGCCCGACGUCAAGGAAGUGGACGGAAGAAAACAGCAACAUCAGCAGAAAUGGUUCGAAAAGUAAUGAAGCGAUUUGAUCGAAACCCGCGUCGCAGUGGGCGAAAAAUGGUUCGUGAGCUGAACAUAUCGCAAUAUUGCAUUCGGCAAAUAUUAAAAAAUGAGCUCAGGGUAAAGGCAUUGAAAUUCCAAAAAGAGCAAGAACUUACACCGCAACAGAAAGAAAAUAGGCUCAA